UGCGUUGACGGUUUGACCAUUUGGUUGGUUAUUUCGUUUUCGCUUUUGGGAAUUUCCCUUUUUACUUUGAGAAAAUUAGAGUGUUUCAAGCAGACUUUUGUCUUGAAUACUUCAGCAUGGAAUAAUAGAGUAGGACUUUGGUUCUAUUUUGUUGGUUAUUGAACCUUAGUAAUGGUUAAUAGGAACGGUUGGGGGCAU
rnacentral:rRNA from 1 species